rnacentral:misc_RNA from 1 species
GAAAACAUGAGAGACUACACGACCAACAUUGUACCAGUGCACAUUGUUUCCGUCCUCUUCUGUCCUACGGCUGGAUCCAGCUUCUUGGCCAAAGUCCCUAAGUAAGCAACUAACAAAAUCUGAAGGGGUCACGCCUCCAUUACUAUGUGCCUUUACAGUGGUCACCAGUGUGUUUGUGAUGUCCAGCAAGGCUUCAGCAUCGGCGACCUGUUCCCUAGGUUUUUGUACUUGUUGAUGUAGCCUUUCAACUUCCUCAAUUAUUGACUCAAAUCUAUCUGAAUCAACUGUUGAUAUAUUAUCUCUCUCAUCAGAAAUCCGAUUCUUAAAAUUGAGAUAAUGAGAGCGUAGAACUCUU